GAUGAACGCUGGCGGCGUGCCUAAUACAUGCCAGUCGAGCGAACAGACGAGGAGCUUGCUCCUCUGACGUUAGCGGCGGACGGGUGAGUAACACGUGGAUAACCUACCUAUAAGACUGGGAUAACUUCGGGAAACCGGAGCUAAUACCGGAUAAUAUAUUGAACCGCAUGGUUCAAUAGUGAAAGACGGUUUUGCUGUCACUUAUAGAUGGAUCCGCGCCGCAUUAGCCAGUUGGUAAGGUAACGGCUUACCAAGGCAACGAUGCGUAGCCGACCUGAGAGGGUGAUCGGCCACACUGGAACUGAGACACGGUCCAGACUCCUACGGGAGGCAGCAGUAGGGAAUCUUCCGCAAUGGGCGAAAGCUUGACGGAGCAACGCCGCGUGAGUGAUGAAGGUCUUCGGAUCGUAAAACUCUGUUAUUAGGGAAGAACAAAUGUGUAAGUAACUAUGCACGUCUUGACGGUACCUAAUCAGAAAGCCACGGCUAACUACGUG
rnacentral:rRNA from 1 species